GAUGAACGCUGGCGGCGUGCCUAAUACAUGCAAGUCGAGCGAACGGACGAGGAGUUUGCUUCGCUGUUGUUAGCGGCGCACGUGUGUGUAACACGUGGAAACUCUACCUAUAAGACUGAGAUAACUUCGGGAAACCGUAGCUAACCCCGGAUAAUCUUCUGAACCGUAUGGUUCAAUGGUGAAAGUCGGCCUUUCGGUCUCUAAUAGAUGCAUACCGGCUGUAUUAGCUAGUUGUUAAGGUAACGGCCUAUUACGGCAACUAUGCAUAGCCGACGUGAGAGGGUGAUCGGCCGCACGAGAGCUGAGACACGGUCAAGAGUCCUGCGGGAGGGAGCAGUAGGGAAUGGUACGCAAUGGGGGAGAGCCUGGCGGAGCGACGCCGAGUGAGUGGUGACGGUCUUCGGAUCGGAAAACUGUGUUAUUAGUGAAGAACAUAUGUGUAAGUAAAUGUGGACAUCGUGACGGUAACUAGUAAGAAAGCCACGGCUAACUACGUG
rnacentral:rRNA from 1 species